GGGGCCAUACCACAGUGAACUUACCGCAUCCCGUCCGAUCUGCGCAGUCAACACUGUAGGGCCGAGUCAGUAGUGCGGUGGGGACCACGCGCG
rnacentral:rRNA from 1 species